UACGGGGGGAGCAAGCGUUGUUCGGAUUUACUGGGCGUAAAGGGCGCGUAGGCGGCCACUGCAAGUCGGUUGUGAAAUCUCCGGGCUUAACCCGGAAAGGUCAAUCGAUACUGCAGGGCUAGAGUGCAGAAGGGGCAACUGGAAUUCUCGGUGUAGCGGUGAAAUGCGCAGAUAUCAGGAGGAACACCAAUGGCGAAGGCAGCUUGCUGGGACGGUACUGACGCUGAGACGCGAAAGCGUGGGGAGCAAACAGG
rnacentral:rRNA from 1 species